CAUUUUAUGUAGAAAUAAAUUGAUACUAAUAAUAACCCUAAAAUGAAGAAUACGUUUUGAGGGAAGAAGAGCAGAGCAGCAAGCAUGGAAUUAUACAGCAUUACGGGGCAAGCUUUUGUUUUGGUUCGUUUUAUUUUUUAACAAAUAGGUCGGGCAAGGAGUGAAUCUCCACAGAAGUGCUGCUCCUCUCUGUGGAUCAUAGCAUACCAGUGGCGAUGCCCUUCUCAUUUUAGGGUUUUGAAAUUAACUUUUUUUCUUUUCUUUUUAAUAUAGAGAAGCUUCUUUAUCCUUUAUAGAAAUUUUGAAUAGAUUUUGUAGUCACAACUGUCCUGGUAUGUAAAAUGUGGAAGGAUUCGAAGGAUUACAGGAUAUGCACAAAAUGGAUCUGGAUAUACAUAUAUAAUUUUAAAUUAUAAAUUAUUUGUUAAUUUUAGUAUUCUUAGACCAGAUUUUUUUUUCAGAAAGAAUGGAAUAUGGAGGAUCUAGGGUGUAUAUACAGAUGUAUAUGUAUGGUAUAUCCAAAAUUUAUCCAGAGGAAUA